rnacentral:rRNA from 1 species
GGUUAACGCUGGCGGCGCGCCUAAUACAUGCAAGUCGAACGAACCCUUCCGGGUUAGGGUCAGACGGGGUAGUCACGCGUGGAUAAUGUCACACUUUGCUGGCCAUACCGUUCCGCAAAGAACGCUUAUACCGAAUGUACCUGUUUGGCGGCAUCAUUGCGCACGUAAACGUUUAGUAUGAAGAGAUCAGUUCGCGUUCUAUCAGCUAGUAGGUGAGGUAACUGCUCACCAAGGCUCCGACGGAUAACUGGCCUAAGAAGAUGAUCAGUCAAACUGGAAGUGAGACACGGUCCAGGCUCCUACGGGAGGGAGCAGUGAGGAAUCUUGGAAAAUGGGCGAAAGUCUGAUGGAGCGACGGAGCGUGAGAGACGAAGACCAUCGGGUUGUAAACCUCUGUCAGUAGGGAAGAAGAAUGACGGUACCUAAUGAGGAAGCUUCGGCUAACUACGUG